CGCGUAGGCCGUUGAGUUAGUUAAUUGUGAAAUCCCAAAGCUUAACUUUGGAACUGCAAUUAAAACUGCUCGACUAGAGUUUGAUAGAGGAAAGCGGAAUACAUAGUGUAGAGGUGAAAUUCGUAGAUAUUAUGUAGAACACCAGUUGCGAAGGCGGCUUUCUGGAUCAACACUGACGCUGAGGCGCGAAAGUAUGGGUAGCAAAGAG
rnacentral:rRNA from 1 species